GACGAACGCUGGCGGCGUGCUUAACACAUGCAAGUCGAACGGUAAGGCCCUUCGGGGUACACGAGUGGCGAACGGGUGAGUAACACGUGGGUGAUCUGCCCUGCACUUCGGGAUAAGCCUGGGAAACUGGGUCUAAUACCGGAUAGGACUCCGGACUGCAUGGUCUGGGGUGGAAAGCUUUUGCGGUGUGGGAUGGGCCCGCGGCCUAUCAGCUUGUUGGUGGGGUGAUGGCCUACCAAGGCGACGACGGGUAGCCGGCCUGAGAGGGUGACCGGCCAGACUGGGACUGAGAAACGGCCCAGACUCCUACGGGAGGCAGCAGUGGGGAAUAUUGCACAAUGGGCGCAAGCCUGAUGCAGCGACGCCGCGUGAGGGAUGACGGCCUUCGGGUUGUAAACCUCCUUCAGCAUCGACGAAGCGAAAGUGACGGUAGGUGCAGAAGAAGGACCGGCCAACUACGUGCCAGCAGCCGCCGUAA
rnacentral:rRNA from 1 species